AUGCAAAUUUCUGCCACAGAGUCUAUUUCCAAAAUAACACGACUUAAGAGAGCCGGUAAUAGAAUUGAUCCUAGAAAGCAGAAUUUAAAAUGGGAUUUCAGAAAUGGAUCAUUCUCUGACCUCCUGGCAAGAAGGACUCUAAUUACAGUACUCAAGAUGUGUGGCAGAUGUUGGAAUCUCAACAUGAUGACGGUAAACUACUUGUUUGAGUUUCAUUCACCUCAAAUUCCUUUUAAUGCAUCUGAGAAGCACAAAGCAAAAGCUUCUGAUUCAGAAUUUGUCUGCAUUCAAGUUUGUAUUUCCUGAGACAGCACAUUAGCUGCUGAGAUUAUGAAUGAAACAGGGAACUUUUUCAAUAUUAUUUAUCUGUAUGGUUCCUUAACUUUAGUGUCGCCUGAUGAAUUUUGAAGUUGAAAAUGAAACCUGGUUGUCAUUCUACCAGUGUUCUGAUGAACUCUUUCAUUUCAAUUGCACAUGCAGCAAAUCAAAGAUUUUUAGUAUAUUAUGUCAAAGUCAAAAUGCCACUUCUUAAUAUAAUUUAUGAUAAAUAUACCUUUUGUUUAUAGGAAAAAACAAGGUUUAUUCAUUAUAGAAAAAAAAUGACUCGAUCUAGUGAUCUACAUUAAAAUGCUGGCCUGCUGAAGGAUAUUUGAAUUGCUCUGCCCUGAAUACACUAAAUAACUGAUCUGGGUAUGAUUUAAGCUGCAGCGGGGUAUGCACCCUACACCGUACUCCUCACAUGAGCAUCUCCUGCAAUGGGUCCCCAGGGCAGUCUCUCUCUCUCUCUCUCUCUCUCUCUUCAUCUUCCUCCUUUUUCUAUUUCUAUCAUUCUCUCUCUGGCUUUCUCUCUCUUUCAUUUACUUACAUACACUAGCAUUAGCUCUUUAUUUCCUGAACAUCAACUUUAAAUUUAUCUCCACAGCUUAAAAGCGAUAUACUUUGCAUCAAACCUUGUAAAUAGAACUGUUUAUAUCAGCACCCUAAGGGAAAAUACAGUGCCCUCACAUAACACAGAAAUUUAUAUGCAAAAGUUUACAUACACUAUAAUUUUCAGUAUUUAUGUCAGUCAAAUUUGGCUAAACUGAUUUUGUCCAGCACACUGACAUUUUUUGAUCUUUAAAAUAUGUUUCUCAAUGAGACGCCAAAAUAGACUACCCAAAGCACCACUUGAAUUAUCUAUUAACUCCAUAUUCACUUCUCAUAGAGCUUUUAUAAAUUCUUGACUAUAAAUAAUUCUGUUAGACUCACAAUAAUAAACGUCAUUUUGUUUGUAGUCUACA
rnacentral:lncRNA from 1 species